rnacentral:rRNA from 1 species
UACGAGAGGCCCAAACGUUAUUCGGAAUUACUGGGCUUAAAGAGUUCGUAGGCGGCGCAGAAAGUAGGGUGUGAAAGCCCUCGGCUUAACCGAGGAAUUGCGCUCUAAACUACUGUGCUCGAGGAACCUAGAGGUGAGCAGGACUGAUGGUGGAGCGGUGAAAUGCGUUGAUAUCAUCAGGAAUACCGGAGGCGAAGGCGGCUCACUGGGGGUUUUCUGACGCUGAGGAACGAAAGCCAGGGGAGCGAACGGG